AGGAAAGGAGAUGAGGUGGACUGCUGCUUUGAAGCUGGACAUGGCUGUUCAUAAAAGCCUGUCCCGACUUGACAUAAGAACACUUGCAAAUGAUCCUCAGCAGAGGAUUAUAGCCGAUUUGCUGUCUGGAAGUGCUCGAUGAUUGGAAAAGAUGCCAUUAUCCUCAUUUCCCUGGUAACCGUCGAAGCUAGCAGCUCAGCCUGCAAGGAGAACAGGACAAUGUGGUGACCUUCCAUUUUUCUUCUGGAGAAGGCCUUCUGGUGGAGUGGACGGCUCAGCAAAUGACAGCAAUGUCUUCAGAGAUUUCCUUGGAAUUUGCUAUAGGCCUGCUGAAAAAGCCAAGGGCCUGCUGAAGAUAGGAAAAAACUCCAGCAAAAAUUUCUGAAAUUUUUUGGAACCGCUUUCUGAUAAUAGUUAUGUCUUUUUUGUAAUUGUAUGGAAUUAAAAGAUUGUG